rnacentral:lncRNA from 1 species
GAGGGUGAGUGAGAAUGGGAUUCUCCUUCUCUUUAGCAAGGACCCACAAGAAGAGAAGGAUAUAUCGUAUCUCUGUCGGUUCCAGUAUACAACUGCUUUUUUUCAAAUGUAGAUUCCGGUGGUGCACAAUCUAAAAUAGAUGCCCAGCGUGGACAAACAUAUGAAAUGUAUAAUGCUGCAUCUACAGGUAUAUGAAACCGGGACCUUUGGUUUCUUCCGUUGAUGAAUGAUCGCAAGGUCGCAACAUCUAAACAUUUAGGGAGGGUAUAAAACCUAGAAUAUCCGAUAAAUACGAGUAUAGCAGUGGUGUCGGACAAUAUAAUAUUUAUUACUUAUGUUUCAUAUUGUAGUAUGUUCUGGUUAUCACUAGAUUUAUUUUGGAUGCGCGUGUGUAUGAGAAGUUUUACGUUCCUUGAUAAAAUACAUUUGAGGUAUCAAGGAUGGUAAAAAACCUCAAAACAUAUUCAUUGAUCCAUGUAUAAAUGUAAAUAUGGCUAAAAUAUUUUAUAAUAUGGAAUGGAUACAGUAGGUACUUG